GUAGAUUUGGGUCAUAGUUCACUCAUGACAUGGCCUCUAAGCAGACAGCUACUAGUUCAAAUCAGUGGGCGACACUUUUGCAGAUUGUGCAUUACUUCGGACAUUGAAUAUACAGAUAUGUAGUAAAGAAACAUAAACAUAUAUCAUGUUUCGUCUUAGCGCACAUGUCGUGAGAUCAACGUCAUCUUUACAGAAGCUGUGUAUCCUAUACCUGCUCCACUUGGGACAGCAGGUCCCUCGCUGCUUCCAUCCAACCAAAUGUUUUCACACUGGAACUGUCCGUAGCCUCUGCCACGGACCAGAUCCACACACCACAGCGGCCCUCGAAACCUCACCCCCAAACAGCCAGCCUGUGACCGUCUCAACCGCUUCCUCAGACCCCCAGGGUCCACCGCCAGCACCCGCUCACUGCUGCAUGAGUGGCUGUCACAACUGUGUUUGGAUCGAGCACGCGGAGCAGCUCUUGAAGUAUUACAGCGACGGGACCGAAAAGGCUUUGGCCGCUAUCGAGGAGAACGUCGAAGACGAAAACCUUAAAGCCUACCUGAAAAUGGAAAUCAGAAUGUUGAAAAAGCCUUGAUUUAGGUGGAUCGUUUUUAGUAUUUGUGUGAGUUUGUUGUGUGUUGGAUUGAAACAGGAUAUGGGUUUCCCUGUCUUUAGGGGCUUCCUGUUUUGGACACUGAAAGAAAGCCAGAUUUCACCCUCCAAUUAAGUUUGAUCAUACUUUUAUAACAACAUAUCAGACAUUCUGCAUAAUGUUAUUAGCAGUAAAAUGCCUACAAUAUGGUGGGUACUGUAAAUGCAUACUUUUACUGUAGUUUAAACACGCACAAAACAUAUUUUAUGGAUGUUAAUAUAUUUUAUAUUUAUUUGAAUGCAUGUUUCCUCCGUUUUUAUUAAAAAUGUAUUUAUGAAUUGUA